rnacentral:rRNA from 1 species
CCUACGGGAGGCAGCAGUGGGGAAUCUUGCGCAAUGGGCGAAAGCCUGACGCAGCAACGCCGCGUGCGGGAAGAAGGCUUUCGGGCUGUAAACCGCUUUCAGCAGGAACGAAAAUGACGGUACCUGCAGAAGAAGGAGCGGCCAACUAUGUGCCAGCAGCCGCGGUGAUACAUAGGCUUCAAGCGUUGUCCGGAUUUAUUGGGCGUAAAGAGUUCGUAGGCGGUCGAGUAAGUCGGGUGUGAAAAUUCUGGGCUCAACCCAGAGACGCCACCCGAUACUGCUUGACUUGAGUUCGAUAGGGGAGUGGGGAAUUCCUAGUGUAGCGGUGAAAUGCGCAGAUAUUAGGAGGAACACCGGUGGCGAAGGCGCCACUCUGGAUCGAUACUGACGCUGAGGAACGAAAGCAUGGGUAGCAAACAGGAUUAGAUACCCUGGUAGUCCAUGCCGUAAACGGUGGGCACUAGGUGUGGGUUUCUAUUAACGAAAUCCGCGCCGUCGCUAACGCAUUAAGUGCCCCGCCGUCGGGAGGUACGGUCGCAGAACUAAACUACAAAGAAGUUAGACGGCGNGAGACGUGCCGAACGGACGACGACGAGGGGAGGUAGG